rnacentral:miRNA from 1 species
ACAUGAACCAAAACUUCUAGUU